rnacentral:rRNA from 1 species
UACGGAGGGUGCAAGCGUUGCUCGGAAUUAUUGGGCGUAAAGGGUAGGUAGGUGGUCUUAUUUGUCUGCGGUGAAAGCCUUGGGCUUAACCCAAGAAGUGCCGCAGAAACGGUAAGACUAGAGUCCUGGAGAGGGUCGUGGAAUUCCCGGUGUAGCGGUGAAAUGCGUAGAGAUCGGGAGGAACACCAGAGGCGAAGGCGGCGACCUGGACAGGCACUGACACUCAACUACGAAAGCGUGGGGAG